rnacentral:rRNA from 1 species
CGAACGCGGUGAACUGAAACAUCUAAGUAACCGCAGGAAAAGAAAUCAACCGAGAUUCCCAGAGUAGUGGCGAGCGAAAUGGGACCAGCCUGUACUCUUUAUUUGUAGUGUUAGCCGAACGCUCUGGAAAGUGCGGCCAUAGCAGGUGAUAGCCCUGUAGGCGAAAACAUUAUGAAAGAACUGGGUGUACGAGAAGUAGGGCGGGACACGUGAAAUCCUGUCUGAAGAUGGGGGGACCAUCCUCCAAGGCUAAAUACUCGUGAUCGACCGAUAGUGAACCAGUACCGUGAGGGAAAGGCGAAAAGAACCCCGGGAGGGGAGUGAAACAGAUCCUGAAACCGCAUGCAUACAAACAGUCGGAGCCUUCGCAAGGGGGUGACGGCGUACCUUUUGUAUAAUGGGUCAGCGACUUACAUUCAGUGGCAAGCUUAACCGAUUAGGGCAGGCGUAGCGAAAGCGAGUCCGAACAGGGCGUUCAGUCGCUGGGUGUAGACCCGAAACCAGGUGAUCUAUCCAUGGCCAGGAUGAAGGUGCGGUAACACGUACUGGAGGUCCGAACCCACUAACGUUGAAAAGUUAGGGGAUGAGCUGUGGAUAGGGGUGAAAGGCUAAACAAACCUGGAAAUAGCUGGUUCUCUCCGAAAACUAUUUAGGUAGUGCCUCGUGUAUCACCUUCGGGGGUAGAGCACUGUCAUGGUUGUGGGGUCCAUUGCGGAUUACUACGCCAUAGCAAACUCCGAAUACCGAAGAGUGCAAUCACGGGAGACAGACAUCGGGUGCUAACGUCCGGUGUCAAGAGGGAAACAACCCAGACCGCCAGCUAAGGUCCCCAAAUAUGGCUAAGUGGGAAACGAAGUGGGAAGGCUAAAACAGUCAGGAGGUUGGCUUAGAAGCAGCCAUCCUUUAAAGAAAGCGUAAUAGCUCACUGAUCGAGUCGUCCUGCGCGGAAGAUGUAACGGGGCUAAGCCAUAUACCGAAGCUGCGGAUGCACAUUUAUGUGCAUGGUAGGAGAGCGUUCCGUAAGCCUGCGAAGGUGCACUGGAAAGUGUGCUGGAGGUAUCGGAAGUGCGAAUGCUGACAUGAGUAGCGAUAAAGGGGGUGAAAGGCCCCCUCGCCGUAAGCCCAAGGUUUCCUACGCAACGUUCAUCGGCGUAGGGUGAGUCGGCCCCUAAGGCGAGGCAGAAAUGCGUAGCUGAUGGGAAGCAGGUUAAUAUUCCUGCACCAUUGUUGAAUGCGAUGGGGGGACGGAUCGCGGAAGGUUGUCCGGGUGUUGGAAGUCCCGGUCCUUGCAUUGGAGAAGGCGCUUUGGCAAAUCCGGGCGCGUAAUUCAAGGGUGCGAGGCCAGUCACUUCGGUGACGAAGCAAUCGGAAGUGGUUCCAGGAAAAGCCUCUAAGCUUCAGUUCAACAAGACCGUACCGCAAACCGACACAGGUGGGCGAGAUGAGUAUUCUAAGGCGCUUGAGAGAACUCGGGAGAAGGAACUCGGCAAAUUGGUACCGUAACUUCGGGAUAAGGUACGCCCCUGUAGCUUGAUGCGCCUGCGCGCAAAGGGUGAAGGGGUUGCAAUAAACUGGUGGCUGCGACUGUUUAAUAAAAACACAGCACUCUGCAAACACGAAAGUGGACGUAUAGGGUGUGACGCCUGCCCGGUGCCGGAAGAUUAAAUGAUGGGGUGCAAGCUCCUGAUUGAAGUCCCGGUAAACGGCGGCCGUAACUAUAACGGUCCUAAGGUAGCGAAAUUCCUUGUCGGGUAAGUUCCGACCUGCACGAAUGGCGUAACGAUGGCCACACUGUCUCCUCCCGAGACUCAGCGAAGUUGAAGUGUUUGUGAUGAUGCAAUCUCCCCGCGGCUAGACGGAAAGACCCCAUGAACCUUUACUGUAGCUUUGCAUUGGACUUUGAACCGGUCUGUGUAGGAUAGGUGGGAGGCUGUGAAGCGUGGACGCCAGUCUGCGUGGAGCCAUCCUUGAAAUACCACCCUGAUCUGUUUGAGGUUCUAACCUUGGUCCGUAAUCCGGAUCGGGGACAGUGCAUGGUAGGCAGUUUGACUGGGGCGGUCUCCUCCCAAAGUGUAACGGAGGAGUACGAAGGUACGCUAGGUACGGUCGG